GUACUCACUUUGACAGCACAUAUACUAAAAUUGAAAAAAAAACAGAGAUUAGCAUGGUCCAUGUGCAAGAAUGACUUACAAAUUCAUGAAGCAUUCUAUAUUUUU